ACUCCUACGGGAGGCAGCAGUGGGGAAUUUUCCGCAAUGGGCGCAAGCCUGACGGAGCAAGACCGCGUGAGGGAGGAAGGCUCUUGGGUUGUAAACCUCUUUUAUCAGGGAAGAAGAUCUGACGGUACCUGAUGAAUCAGCAUCGGCUAACUCCGUGCCAGCAGCCGCGGUAAUACGGAGGAUGCAAGCGUUAUCCGGAUUUAUUGGGCGUAAAGCGUCCGCAGGUGGUUUUUCAAGUCUGCUGUUAAAGCGCAGAGCUUAACUCUGUAACGGCGGUGGAAACUGAGAGACUAGAGUAUGGUAGGGGUUGCGGGAAUUCCCAGUGUAGCGGUGAAAUGCGUAGAUAUUGGGAAGAACACCAGCGGCGAAAGCGCGCAACUGGGCCAUUACUGACACUCAUGGACGAAAGCUAGGGGAGCGAAAGGGAUUAGAUACCCCUGUAGUCCUAGCUGUAAACGAUGGGUACUAGGUGUUGACCGUAUCGACCCGGUCAGUGCCGUAGCUAACGCGUUAAGUACCCCGCCUGGGGAGUAUGCACGCAAGUGUGAAACUCAAAGGAAUUGACGGGGGCCCGCACAAGCGGUGGAGUAUGUGGUUUAAUUCGAUGCAACGCGAAGAACCUUACCAGGGCUUGACAUGUCGCGAAUCUCGGUGAAAGUCGAGAGUGCCUUCGGGAGCGCGAACACAGGUGGUGCAUGGCUGUCGUCAGCUCGUGUCGCGAGAUGUUGGGUUAAGUCCCGCAACGAGCGCAACCCUCGUUUUUAGUUGCCAGCAUUUAGUUGGGCACUUUAGAGAGACUGCCGGUGACAAACCGGAGGAAGGUGGGGAUGACGUCAAGUCAGCAUGCCCCUUACGUCCUGGGCUACACACGUACUACAAUGCUUCGGACAAAGGGUUGCGAGCUAGCGAUAGCAAGCUAAUCCCGUAAACCGAGGCUCAGUUCAGAUUGCAGGCUGCAACUCGCCUGCAUGAAGGAGGAAUCGCUAGUAAUCCCAGGUCAGCAUACUGGGGUGAAUACGUUCCCGGGCCUUGUACACACCGCCCGU
rnacentral:rRNA from 1 species